rnacentral:siRNA from 1 species
CUGGGCAAGUCCAUGGGCGGCCUG